rfam:Lepisosteus oculatus linkage group LG3, whole genome shotgun sequence.
GCCAGCAGCCAUAUCACCCUGAAACUCACAACUGGCAAUCCAUUGAAGUUAAGCAGGUGUGAGCCUAGUCAGCAUCUGGAUGGGAGACCUCCUGGGAAAAACUAAGGUUGUUGCUGGGA